UUAAAUUGAAGAGUUUGAUCAUGGCUCAGAUUGAACGCUGGCGGCAGGCCUAACACAUGCAAGUCGAACGGUAACAGGAAGCAGCUUGCUGCUUUGCUGACGAGUGGCGGACGGGUGAGUAAUGUCUGGGAAACUGCCUGAUGGAGGGGGAUAACUACUGGAAACGGUGGCUAAUACCGCAUAACGUCGCAAGACCAAAGAGGGGGACCUUCGGGCCUCUUGCCAUCAGAUGUGCCCAGAUGGGAUUAGCUUGUUGGUGAGGUAACGGCUCACCAAGGCGACGAUC
rnacentral:rRNA from 1 species